rnacentral:rRNA from 1 species
CAGUAGCCGCGGGAAUACGGAGGGGGCUAGCGUUGUUCGGAAUUACUGGGCGUAAAGCGCACGUAGGCGGUUAUUCAAGUCAGAGGUGAAAGCCCGGGGCUCAACCCCGGAACUGCCUUUGAAACUAGAUGACUAGAAUCUUGGAGAGGCGAGUGGAAUUCCGAGUGUAGAGGUGAAAUUCGUAGAUAUUCGGAAGAACACCAGUGGCGAAGGCGACUCGCUGGACAAGUAUUGACGCUGAGGUGCGAAAGCGUGGGGAGCAAACAGGAUUAGAUACCCCCGUAGUCCCUGUCUCUUAUAC